rnacentral:rRNA from 1 species
UACCGGCGGCUCGAGUGGUGGCCCCUAUUACUGGGCUUAAAGCGUUCGUAGCUGGUUUGUUAAGUCUCUGGGGAAAUCUUCCGGCUCAACCGGAAGGCGUCUCAGGGAUACUGGCAGACUAGGGACCGGGAGAGGUGAGGGGUACUCCAGGGGUAGGAGUGAAAUCCUGUAAUCCUUGGGGGACCACCUGUGGCGAAGGCGCCUCACCAGAACGGCUCCGACAGUGAGGGACGAAAGCUGGGGGAGCAAACCGG